rnacentral:tmRNA from 1 species
AUUGUGCCUAUAUCUGAGGCGUUCCCGCAUGGGGACUAUGGCGAUAAACGCGCCCGUAAUAAGCGGAUCGGACCCGGGGGCGGUACCCGGCGGCUCCACCAAACCUCCCACAUUGGCGGGAUAAUGGGGCCGAAAUAGGAUCGACGGACGUCUAAAGGGGUUAGCUUUUGCUCGGUGAGGUACCACCGUUAUCGGUCCAUGCAUGAUAGUUGCCAAUGACAACCGUGCUCCGGUCGCCGUUGCUGCGUAAGCAGUAACUAGACCGAAACUUUAAGCCCUGUCCUCUAGCAAGGCCAGGCGGGGUUCGCAGGUACCUGGCAACAGAAACCU